rnacentral:rRNA from 1 species
UAGGGAAUCUUCCGCAAUGGGCGAAAGCCUGACGGAGCAACGCCGCGUGAGUGAUGAAGGUCUUCGGAUCGUAAAACUCUGUUAUUAGGGAAGAACAAAUGUGUAAGUAACUAUGCACGUCUUGACGGUACCUAAUCAGAAGGCCACGGCUAACUACGUGCCAGCAGCCGCGGUAAUACGUAGGUGGCAAGCGUUAUCCGGAAUUAUUGGGCGUAAAGCGCGCGUAGGCGGUUUUUUAAGUCUGAUGUGAAAGCCCACGGCUCAACCGUGGAGGGUCAUUGGAAACUGGAAAACUUGAGUGCAGAAGAGGAAAGUGGAAUUCCAUGUGUAGCGGUGAAAUGCGCAGAGAUAUGGAGGAACACCAGUGGCGAAGGCGACUUUCUGGUCUGUAACUGACGCUGAUGUGCGAAAGCGUGGGGAUCAAACAGG